rnacentral:rRNA from 1 species
UACGUAGGGGGCAAGCGUUGUCCGGAAUUAUUGGGCGUAAAGAGCGUGUAGGCGGUCCGGUAAGUCAGCUGUGAAAGUCAAGGGCUCAACCCUUGAAAGCCGGUUGAUACUGUCGGGCUAGAGUCCGGAAGAGGCGAGUGGAAUUCCCGGUGUAGCGGUGAAAUGUGUAGAGAUCGGGAGGAACACCGGUGGCGAAGGCGGGUCUCUGGGCAUCUACUGACGCUGAGGCGCGAAAGCGUGGGGAGCAAACGGG